rnacentral:rRNA from 1 species
CUACGGGUGGCAGCAGUGAGGAAUAUUGGGCAAUGGGCGAAAGCCUGACCCAGCAACGCCGCGUGGAGGAUGAAUGCCGUAAGGUUGUAAACUCCUUUUGUUAGGGACGAAAAAAUAGGUUUGUAGCCUACAUUGACGGUACCUAACGAAUAAGCCCCGGCUAACUACGUGCCAGCAGCCGCGGUAAUACGUAGGGGGCAAGCGUUGUCCGGAUUAACUGGGUGUAAAGGGCGCGUAGGCGGGCUUAUAAGUCAGAGGUGAAAUCCUACAGCUUAACUGUAGAACUGCCUUUGAAACUGUAAGUCUUGAGUGCGGAAGAGAGAGAUGGAAUUCCAGGUGUAGUGGUGAAAUACGUAGAUAUCUGGAAGAACGCCAGUGGCGAAGGCGAUCUCUUGGUCCGUUACUGACGCUGAGGCGCGAAAGCGUGGGGAGCAAACAGGAUUAGAUACCCCAGUAGUC